rnacentral:rRNA from 1 species
GACGAACGCUGGCGGCGUGCUUAACACAUGCAAGUUGAACGGUAACAGGUCUUCGGAUGCUGACGAGUGGCGAACGGGUGAGUAAUGCAUCGGAACGUGCCCAGUUGUGGGGGAUAACUGCUCGAAAGAGCAGCUAAUACCGCAUACGACCUGAGGGUGAAAGCGGGGGAUCGCAAGACCUCGCGCACUUGGAGCGGCCGAUGUCAGAUUAGGUAGUUGGUGGGGUAAAGGCCUACCAAGCCGACGAUCUGUAGUUGGUCUGAGAGGACGACCAGCCACACUGGGACUGAGGCACGGCCCAGACUCCUACGGGAGGCAGCAGUGGGGAAUUUUGGACAAUGGGCGCAAGCCUGAUCCAGCAAUGCCGCGUGCAGGAAGAAGGCCUUCGGGUUGUAAACUGCUUUUGUCAGGGAAGAAAUCCUCUGGGUUAAUACCCCGGGGGGAUGACGGUACCUGAAGAAUAAGCACCGGCUAACUACGUGCCAGCAGCCGCCGUAAUAC